GGCCAUGAUAUGUGGAAUCAUAUUUGCAAUCACUUGAGACAUAUUUCUCAAUCGACGCUCAAAGAACUUUGGAUUCAUGUGUGCUUCGUGUGCAUAUUAAACUUUUUUCUAUCUUUUUUUUUCUUCGGUUGUUUGGAACAUGUCUAAACACUGAAAAAAUUGUGGUCCUGAUGACACUUAUGGAAGGGGUGUGCGCUUGCCAUGGCCCCUCAUUUUAAGCGUUGCUAGUUGCGAAACCACCUCUUACCUCAGUGCUCAUUUCUCGGUGACAAUUAUUGCUAGCAGAAUAUUUCUUUGACAUGUUUAGUUUUCGUGCUGAGAUCCAUCGAGUUCGAAGUUUGCAUCAAAUCCAGUAUUUUCAAAACAUCCGUCAUGCUAGUUGUACGCAUGACUUAGCUAUACUUUUUCACGGCUGGCAAAGGAAGCUACGUAGACACCAUUAAAAGUGCGUUAUUGGUGACACUUAUUGUAAGGGGUGCACGCGCAUGUCGUGCCCCCCACCUUAGGCGUUGCUAGUUGUGAAACCACCUUUGACCUCGGCGCUCAUUUCUUUGCGACGGUUAUUGUUAGCAGUGUUUUUUUUACAUGUGUUUGUUUUCAUGUGGAGAUUUGUCAAGUUCCAUGUCCUUAUU
rnacentral:lncRNA from 1 species